UACGGGGGGGGGCAAGCGUUGUUCGGAAUUACUGGGCGUAAAGGGUGCGCAGGCGGCCAAGUGUGUUAGGCGUGAAAGCCCGGGGCUUAACCCCGGAAUUGCACCUAAAACUACAUGGCUAGAGCAUUGGAGAGGGUAGCGGAAUUCACGGUGUAGCAGUGAAAUGCGUAGAUAUCUGGAGGAACGCCGGUGGCGAAAGCGCUCGACUGGACCUCUUCUGACGCUGAGGCGCGAAAGCCAGGGGAGCAAACGGG
rnacentral:rRNA from 1 species